rnacentral:SRP_RNA from 1 species
GCUGGGCGUGGUGGUGUGCGCCUGUAGUCCCAGCUACUUGGGAGGCUGAGACAGGAGAAUUGCUUGAACCCGGGAGGUGGAGGUUGCAGUGAGCUCAGAUUGCACCACUGCACUCCAGCCUGGGCAACAGAGCGAGACUCUGUCUCAA